CCCUUAGAUGUUCUGGGCCGCACGCGCGCUACACUGAUGCAUUCAACGAGUCUAAAACCUGCUCUGAUAGGGGUGGGUAAUCUUUUGAAUGUGCAUCGUGAUUGGGAUAGAUGAUUGCAAUUUUUCAUCUUCAACGAGGACUGCCUAGUAAACGCAAGUCAUCAGCUUGCAUUGAUUACGUCCCUGCCCUUUGUACACACCGCCCGUCGCUCCUACCGAUUGAAUGAUCCGAUGAAUAUCAUGGAUUGAGGAUGCAAGUAGGUUCGCCUAUCUUCAUCUUCGAGAAGUGAAGUAAAUCUUAUCAUUUAGAGGAAGGAGAAGUCGUAACA
rnacentral:rRNA from 1 species